rnacentral:rRNA from 1 species
AGUGAACGCUGGCGGUAGGCCUAACACAUGCAAGUCGAACGGCAGCACAGUAAGAGCUUGCUCUUACGGGUGGCGAGUGGCGGACGGGUGAGGAAUACAUCGGAAUCUACUUUUUCGUGGGGGAUAACGUAGGGAAACUUACGCUAAUACCGCAUACGACCAACGGGUGAAAGCAGGGGAUCUUCGGACCUUGCGCGAUUGAUUGAGCCGAUGCCGGAUUAGCUAGUUGGCGGGGUAAAGGCCCACCAAGGCGACGAUCCGUAGCUGGUCUGAGAGGAUGAUCGGCCACACUGGAACUGAGACACGGUCCAGACUCCUACGGGAGGCAGCAGUGGGGAAUAUUGGACAAUGGGCGCAAGCCUGAUCCAGCCAUACCGCGUGAGUGAAGAAGGCCUUCGGGUUGUAAAGCACUUUUGUUGGGAAAGAAAAGCAGCAGGUUAAUACCCCGCUGUUCUGACGGUACCCAAAGAAUAAGCACCGGCUAACUUCGUG